CUACGGGAGGCAGCAGUGAGGAAUAUUGCACAAUGGGGGGAACCCUGAUGCAGCAACGCCGCGUGGAGGAUGACGCAUUUCGGUGUGUAAACUCCUUUUAUAUGACAAGAAAAUGACGGUAGCAUAUGAAUAAGCACCGGCUAACUCCGUGCCAGCAGCCGCGGUAAUACGGAGGGUGCAAGCGUUACUCGGAAUCACUGGGCGUAAAGGACGCGUAGGCGGGUUGGAAAGUCAGGUGUGAAAUCCUACAGCUUAACUGUAGAACUGCACUUGAAACUUCUAAUCUAGAGUGUGGGAGGGGGAGAUGGAAUUAGUGGUGUAGGGGUAAAAUCCGUAGAUAUCACUAGGAAUACCUAAAGCGAAGGCGAUCUCCUGGAACAUUACUGACGCUAAGGCGUGAAAGCGUGGGGAGCAAACAGGAUUAGAUACCCCUGUAGUC
rnacentral:rRNA from 1 species